CUUCAUCAUCAUCUUCAUCCGUGGUGUCAGAGUCAUCACUGGAAGAUGAAUAAUCUGUCACCUUAUUCGGGGGACGAACGUCAUCCACUGCACGCAGUUCCUUGGCCAGAGCCGUGAGGUCCUAAAGGUCGGGAGCGGGACAGAGUAAAGCUGCGGGAAAGGAAGAGAGGUUACAGAGGAACACCAGCCAAUGUGAAGGCAACGUGAGAGCGGCAAAGCCAAAGAUGAAGCAAGGGAGGAGGUGACGGUCUCAGCUGAGGCUCUUCAAGCUACUGUAGCAUUCUCUGGCCGUUGGAGGGGUGAGCCCUCGGAUUUGGAAGAGGCUAAAGGAGGUGGAGGUGAAAUGAGCCACAGUGAGAACCAGGCUGAGAGCUGGAGUUACUGGAGCUGCUGGAGGAACUGGAGCCUCCGCUGCCGCUGUUACUGGCUGCUCUGGGAACCAGUUUCUCCACCCGCUCCCACAGCAGCCGAGGC